AGGGAUAUGGCUCAGUGGUAGAGUGUUCACCUACCAUGUGCAAGGCCCUGAGUUCAAUCCUCAGCACUCCAU
rnacentral:tRNA from 1 species